UACGGGGGGAGCAAGCGUUGUUCGGAUUUACUGGGCGUAAAGGGCGCGUAGGCGGCGUAACAAGUCACUUGUGAAAUCUCCGGGCUUAACUCGGAGCGGUCAAGUGAUACUGUUGUGCUAGAGUGCGGAAGGGGCUACUGGAAUUCUCGGUGUAGCGGUGAAAUGCGUAGAUAUCGAGAGGAACACCUGCGGCGAAGGCGGGUAGCUGGGCCGACACUGACGUGAAGCGCGAAAGCUAGGGGAGCGAACGGG
rnacentral:rRNA from 1 species